rnacentral:rRNA from 1 species
UACGGGGGGAGCAAGCGUUGUUCGGAUUUACUGGGCGUAAAGGGCGCGUAGGCGGUCGUGACAAGUCACUUGUGAAAUCUCCGGGCUUAACUCGGAACGGUCAAGUGAUACUGUCGGACUAGAGUACAGAAGGGGCAGCUGGAAUUCUCGGUGUAGCGGUGAAAUGCGUAGAUAUCGAGAGGAACACCUGCGGCGAAGGCGGAUUGCUGGGCUGAUACUGACGCUGAGGCGCGAAAGCCAGGGGAGCGAACGGG